rnacentral:rRNA from 1 species
UACGUAGGGCGCAAGCGUUGUCCGGAAUUAUUGGGCGUAAAGAGCUCGUAGGCGGCUUGUCACGUCGGGUGUGAAAGACCGGGGCUUAACCCCGGUUCUGCAUUCGAUACGGGCUAGCUAGAGUGUGGUAGGGGAGAUCGGAAUUCCUGGUGUAGCGGUGGAAUGCGCAGAUAUCAGGAGGAACACCAAUGGCGAAGGCAGAUCUCUGGGCCGUAACUGACGCUGAGGAGCGAAAGCAUGGGGAGCGAACAGG